AUUGAACGCUGGCGGCAGGCUUAACACAUGCAAGUCGAGCGAGCGGCGGACGGGUGAGUAAUGUCUGGGAAACUGCCUGGUGGAGGGGGAUAACUACUGGAAACGGUAGCUAAUACCGCAUACCAUCAGAUGUGCCCAGAUGGGAUUAGCUAGUAGGUGGGGGAAUGGCUCACCUAGGCGACGAUCCCUAGCUGGUCUGAGAGGACGACCAGCCACACUGGAACUGAGACACGGCCCAGACUCCGACGGGAGGCAGCAGUGGGGAAUAUUGGACAAUGGGGGCAAGCCUGAUGCAGCCAUGCCGCGUGUGUGAAGAAGGCCUUCGGGUUGUAAAGCACUUUCAGCGAGGAGGCGUUACUCGCAGAAUAAGCACCGGCUAACUCCGUGCCAGCAGCCGCGGUAAUUC
rnacentral:rRNA from 1 species